UAAAAAAACCGAUUUUAAAAGUUAUACUUUUAAAAUCGGUUAUUUAACCGAUUUAAAAAGUCUAACUUUUAAAAUCGGCUCUUUUA
rnacentral:miRNA from 1 species